GACGAACGCUGGCGGCGUGCUUAACACAUGCAAGUCGAACGGAAAGGCCCUGCUUGCAGGGUACUCGAGUGGCGAACGGGUGAGUAACACGUGGGUGAUCUGCCCUGCACUUCGGGAUAAGCCUGGGAAACUGGGUCUAAUACCGGAUAGGAGCCAUUUUUAGUGUGAUGGUUGGAAAGUUUUUUCGGUGUAGGAUGAGCUCGCGGCCUAUCAGCUUGUUGGUGGGGUAAUGGCCUACCAAGGCGGCGACGGGUAGCCGGCCUGAGAGGGUGGACGGCCACAUUGGGACUGAGAGACGGCCCAGACUCCUACGGGAGGCAGCAGUGGGGAAUAUUGCACAAUGGGCGCAAGCCUGAAGCAGCGACGCCGCGUGGGGGAUGACGGCCUUCGGGUUGUAAACUCCUUUCGCUAGGGACGAAGCUUUUUGUGACGGUACCUAGAUAAGAAGCACCGGCUAACUACGUG
rnacentral:rRNA from 1 species